ACAUUUAAAAAUCCUUGUGAGGCCCUCCAGGCAAUGUUUUAUUGAUAUUGAUAUAUUUUUUCUCCUACUGAAGUGUACCAAGCAGCAGGUGGUAGAAAAUGGGGGCAGAGAGGUGAAUGGAGCCUAGAUGUGAGUGUAGGGCUUUAUAAGCCAUCUUCAGGGCAGAGUUGCCUGUCCAGAGCCAUGGGGUAAGUGUUUUAGGCCUUGCUAGUCACCUGCUCAGCUCUGCUGUUGUAGUGAGAAAGCGGCUGUGGACAGUAUGUCAGGAGUUGGUGUGGCCGUGCGCCUGUGAAACCUGGUUUACAGACAGAGGCAGCAGGCCAGCUGGGCUCCCCCGCCAUGGUAUGUUUGCUGGCCCUUGUUUUAGAAGGACCAUACGUUGAGAAUAGACUCCAGGGGGCUAAAUGGAGGCCAGGGAACCAGAGAAGAAGCUCUAACAGUGAUGGCGCUGAGAGCCAGUCCCUCGUCCCGAGCGGCCACUCUGGCCUCACACGCGGUCAUGGGUUCGCUCACUUCACCAGGAGUUCUCAGGGCUGCCCCCUCCCUGCCGCCAUUUCCCUUUCAUAUCGCCGACCCGAGUCUCUACUUUAUCCUUUCCUUUGUUCAUCCAUUCUCCACAGCGUAGCAGAGUCAUCUUGUAAACACACGGCUUGGGAGCUUAAGGGAUUUGCUCAAGACCACGAAAUGAAGUGCACUGGUUUCAUAUUCCAGAAGGUUGGAAGGUUGGCGGCCACAGCUCUGGGAGGUGGAUUUUUCCUGCUGCAGGUCUUUGCAGGUGAUUCUGAGGUGCAGCCAAGCUGGAGUGUCCGGAUCCGCAGCUCUUUGUCCCCUCUCGAAGGUCGCCAACCAUACCGGCUACAUCAAAGUGGAUUGGCAGCGGGUAGAGAAGGACGUGAAGAAAGCCAAGGAGCAGCUGAAGAUCCGCAACAGCAACCAGAUACCUACGGAGGUCAAAAGCAAAGCAGAGGAGGUGGUGUCGUUUGUGAAGAAGAAUGUUCUAGUGACUGGUGGAUUUUUCGGAGGCUUUCUGCUUGGUAUGGCAUCCUAAAGAGGAUGACUUCACUUCCUUAUUCCUGGCUUUUCCAGCCAGCAGCCUUUCACUCCAUCAUAGGAUAGCAAGUCUCUCCUCUUCGUCCUCUUCUCCCUCUUCUCCCAUGCCUUCCUUCCUGCCAUGGCGUAUCUGAAUGGCUUCUGUAGGCAUCUGUUGGUACAAGUGGAUAACAGCCCCACCAUGACCUUGACGGCAACGGAAGAGACAGUGGACAUUGACCCUUCUCCCAGCACACUCCCCCUUGACUAAUCUGUAGGUCAGCAGGAAUAUUCCUUUCUCCCCCUAUGUAAGAUACUUACCAGAACAUGGUACAAGGUGGCUCACCAUGGAGCGUGAGUGGAUCCUCAAAGGUUGUCCCAAACUUGACUUGGAAAAGAAAUAAGCGUAUAAGAUACCUUACUAUGUUCUUCAUGGAAAGGAACUGAAUACAUUUGCCUUUAAGCAUGAAAGAUUUUGGUAUCUUGGUGUCUACUUUUGUAGUAGAUUUUAGGUUACAGAACGAGAACUACUUAUACUGGCUCUAAUUAUCCUGACAAAAUGGCAGCAUGUGCGCUACAGUUGAAAUAUCUGCAUACGGAUUGAACUUGUUCUAAAGAUACAUAUGCUGAGCUGAAGGUAUUGUGGGAAGGUCUUUGGGAAACCAACCAAUAGAUACAUUUAGGAUGGUCAGACUUAGUGAAUCACUUAGAGGCAUUCAGGUAUUAUCUAGGGAUGUAUUCCAUCCAUCAUACAGGAUAAUGCAUCUCAUGAUGGUUUCUAAAGGAUUUAUUUAUGGUAAAAUAAGUGACUUUAGGUGGAAGAGGGAAGAAGCUCUGGGAUUUUUGUUUAAUAGGAAAGGUUUUAAGCUUUGAAAUGUGAAAUAUUCUUUACCUCGUCAAAACAUCAGGGGUAGCCAUAGCGCCUCUGUGCCAGUUCUACUAUUUAUCCAGUUGGUAUGAAAUAUAUAACGUUUGAACCAGAGUUUUCAAAUGGUGACAUUCCACACAUUAAGAAUUGAGAACAGUAGCAACAGCACAUGUGAAAUAAGUUAUUUCUAUCAUCAAAGGUAAUGUGCUGUCUCAGGAUGACCCCAACUCUUAGAAUUUCUCUUUAAAAUAAAAGUUUAUAGAUAUACCCAUGCUUAGAAACUUAACACAUUUUUCUGUAAUGGCCUUCUAUUGUACCAUCUAGGAGACCCACUGCAGGAAGGCAAGGCUUGUGUCUUCACCAUUAUAUCCAUGGAGCCAAGCACUUAAUAAGAACUCAGUAUCUGUUGAAUAUAUGAAUAAUGAGCUCAUAGAAAAGUAUCUGGAAAAGGCACUGAGCCACAGGAUUUGUGAUACUUUAUGAGUUCUGAAAAUUCAGAAAACUUGGAAUUAACUUCUUAAACUUGCAGAAAACUGUAAAGUCAGCUUAUUGAAACACCAAAACUACCGUCCUGAAUUUGAAAUGGUAAAAAAUGCCAUUAUGAUGAUUGAGAGCAGUGGUUCGCAUCCUCGCUUGCCUGGCUGCCGUCCUGGAGACUCUGGUUGCACUGGUAGCGGCGGGGCAGCCUCAGAUGUUUGAGGAGCGUCUAAAGUUGGGAACCACUGAACUAUAGACUUCGAAGCUGGUGUAGUAACGUUACAGUUCUGCUGAACAGGCCUUUAAUACCUUUUAAAUUAAGUGCCAUAUAAUUUCGGAUGCCUUCCAAAUACUGAACAGAGUAUAAUAUUAGUUUAUUCAAUGUUAUAGGAAUUGUGUGGCGUGGAUGCAUGAGUAGCAUGAUGGCCGACCAGGGCCUUCUGUCACCGGUGGAUGUAAAGCUCUUGGGCAGAAGGUUGUGGGGUAAUGGAGUGUUCAUAUGGUGCCAACAUAUCAUCCCACAAAUGACCCCCCAUGACCAAGGGAAGACUACCUUUCCAGUGGAGAGGUCUGUCUCGGUCACUAGUUAACCAGGUGAUGAAACUUGGCGUCACUCCGAGCCCACUUACAGCAGGCUUUUAAGAAGUCUCUAAACGGAGGAUGAGAUCAUAGUUCUCACCUUCCCAGCUCUUCCCUGAAGACUGAGAUUCAGUGCUAAUCACAGUCCCUAAUAAAUAAAAAACAGCUGGUGAGUGUUAAGCUUCUUUGAUGUCUCUUUUAUUUCCCUGUAUGUCAUAGGAAUAGCUAAGAAGAAUUAAGAUUGAAAUCAAUGCCUGCUAAUAGAUGUUGAAUGAAACUGAAACAGUACUGAGUUUAGAGAUAGGAAGGAAUAAUUGUUUGAGGCUUUAGGAACCCUAAAGAAAGGAGUAUACUUGGGGAAAAAAUUAAAAGUCUGAAACUUGAGUAGUUAACUCAAUAAAAAUAAUUUUGUAAUAAAGCACAGGAGAGCAGUCUCUUUGAUCAUGUAGUGAUUGCUAAUGUGAAUCCAACACCACUAUCAACUGAUCAUUUUAAAUGUAAUUUAGAUUUGUAUAUGAUGUAAAUAUAGUUAUAAAAUGUUUCAUUAAAUUGUUCUACUAUUAA